ensembl:lncRNA
UUGUCUUGCAACAACCUUGUUCUACAGGACAAACAAACACAUCAUCUGAUUUGCUGAAUUCAGAAAGCCAAUUUAACAUUGUGGAUUCAACAUUUAAUUCUGCAAUACCACCUUUUACAAGUGUGAUGCUGACAGACCACUCAGUUUGGAGCCAGACCAUUUCACUUGUGUGUGAAUAGCAAAGAAAUGUCCCCUACACCUGCCACCCUCUCUAGUCCUCUAGACUUUUCCCUUUGCUCCACUGUGACUGCAGCAAGUACUUGGCAACAUACACUUGGCAGCAUCUUUUGGCAACCCUGCUCCCUCAAGUAUUUGACAGAGUGCUUCAGACUGAAUACCUUUAACUCCAUUCUACUUCGCUGAGGUAAGAGCUUAAUUUUCCUUCUCUUCAGAAAGGCUCACAACAACUCGCUCCCAUAAUAGCUGGUAAACCAAAUUAUCUUAAAUAAAGCAAAUUUUCUUUAACA